GACGGGCAUGUACACACACACAAUAUAGGCUUAGAACUUCAAUAAGGCACAUGGCUUUUACUUGCGUGUGAUGCUGAGAUUUUUAUUUUUCAAGGGAACAUUAUUCCCGACCAGUUCUUGUUAUGCUACUUUUCAAGAGAAUCUAGGAAGAAUGAUGAGUUCUAUUGGUCAGCAAGUGGUAAGACAAAAAAUUACCGCAAAGACACAUGCAAAAAAGGGCCUGGAAAAACUGAGGUGGUAUCACUGUAAUUAACAGGGAUAAUUAACACAAGUUCUUGCACAAUGCAUUUGGUUUGAGGGGAGAGAGAGAAUACUGGCUAUCUGAUUAUGAUUCUAAAAUCCUCAAAUUCUGACAAAAUUCCGGCUAAAUCUGCUGCCAAACCUACUUGCAUCCUAUAUUACCUCCUCAGCAGCUAUCAACUGGGUUCGCCUCAAAAUGUCAGCUUUCCUCUGCAUAACAUGGGAGCUAUAACUGAGUUUAAUCAGUGCCUGGAUUUUCCAUAACUUACCGAUUAUUUGGCCAGCUCAGUUUUUGACAUAUGCAGGAAGUCCUUGAUGUCCAUAAGGAGAAUGACAACUUAACAAAUCAGUAGCUUUUGGGUACUUAUGGAAAGGUUGAGAACAGGCCAGCUGCUUCCUCUACUGGAGGUGAUGCAUGGUUAAUUUCUUUAUUUUAGCAUACUGUACACAGAUGCGGCUGGGUUGUUAAUUUUGCUUUGCUACCAAGAGUUACAAGAUAUCAGCUAUCGGCUGAUUUAUUUGAAAUCCUCCCUGGAACGCAUCAGAAUUUUAAUUGUUUCCUGAAUUUCUGCAGGAGAAGAUGAAUUGAUGUCACUGGGAAAUGCCUUGGGUCCCUGCUGACUGCAACUAACUCCCAGUGACUGAUUUCCAAUUGAUACAGAUGAGGCCUGAGAGGCAGCACACAUAGAUACACCCACGUGAGCUCAGCAGCCUCAUAAUGGCCAACAGAGAUGAUGGGGGAGACUAAACAUUUCUUUCCAACAACUCAUCAAGUACACUGUUCUUCUCAACAGAUGUAACCGGCGGGGCCCAACAUAGAUGCUGGCAGAAACAGAUGGUGCCGCGGGGCAGCUCUCUGUUCCCUGCUCCC
rnacentral:lncRNA from 1 species